ACCUGGCUCACACCGGUUUAAACUCAGAUCAUGUAAAAUUUUUAAGGUCGAACAGACCUAAUUUAUUAGCCUCUUCACCAAUAAUUAAUUUUAAUCCAACAUCGAGGUCGCAAUCCUUUAUUUCGAUAAGAACUCUAAAAAAAAUCACGCUGUUAUCCCUAAGGUAAUUUAAUCUUAUAAUCUACCUCUUAGGAUCAUAAAUUCAUAAAUAAAUGAUUAAAUACAAAAAAAGUUAAUUUAAUUUUUUUAUCACCCCAAUAAAAUAUUAUAAACUAGAUAAUUAUAAAAAUCCAAAAUUAUUUAACAAGCUUAUAAUAUAAAACUCUAUAGGGUCUUCUCGUCUUCUAUAGGCAUUUAAGCUUUUUUACUUAAAAAUAAAAUUCUAAUAAAUUUUUAUAGAGACAGUUAUUUUUUCAUCAAACCCUUCAUUCCAGCUUUCAAUUAAAAAACUAAUGAUUAUGCUACCUUUGCACGGUUAAUAUACCGCGGCCAUUUAACUUAUCAUUGGGCAGGUUAGACUUAAAAUUAUUAUCAAUAAGCC
rnacentral:rRNA from 1 species